rnacentral:rRNA from 1 species
GUCGAACGAGUUCUCGUUGAUGAUCGGUGCUUGCACCGAGAUUCAACAUGGAACGAGUGGCGGACGGGUGAGUAACACGUGGGUAACCUGCCCUUAAGUGGGGGAUAACAUUUGGAAACAGAUGCUAAUACCGCAUAGAUCCAAGAACCGCAUGGUUCUUGGCUGAAAGAUGGCGUAAGCUAUCGCUUUUGGAUGGACCCGCGGCGUAUUAGCUAGUUGGUGAGGUAAUGGCUCACCAAGGCGAUGAUACGUAGCCGAACUGAGAGGUUGAUCGGCCACAUUGGGACUGAGACACGGCCCAAACUCCUACGGGAGGCAGCAGUAGGGAAUCUUCCACAAUGGACGCAAGUCUGAUGGAGCAACGCCGCGUGAGUGAAGAAGGCUUUCGGGUCGUAAAACUCUGUUGUUGGAGAAGAAUGGUCGGCAGAGUAACUGUUGUCGGCGUGACGGUAUCCAACCAGAAAGCCACGGCUAACUACGUGCCAGCAGCCGCGGUAAUACGUAGGUGGCAAGCGUUAUCCGGGUUUAUUGGGCGUAAAGCGAGCGCAGGCGGUUUUUUAAGUCUGAUGUGAAAGCCCUCGGCUUAACCGAGGAAGCGCAUCGGAAACUGGGAAACUUGAGUGCAGAAGAGGACAGUGGAACUCCAUGUGUAGCGGUGAAAUGCGUAGAUAUAUGGAAGAACACCAGUGGCGAAGGCGGCUGUCUGGUCUGUAACUGACGCUGAGGCUCGAAAGCAUGGGUAGCGAACAGGAUUAGAUACCCUGGUAGUCCAUGCCGUAAACGAUGAAUGCUAGGUGUUGGAGGGUUUCCGCCCUUCAGUGCCGCAGCUAACGCAUUAAGCAUUCCGCCUGGGGAGUACGACCGCAAGGUUGAAACUCAAAGGAAUUGACGGGGGC